UACGUAGGGGGCAAGCGUUGUCCGGAAUCAUUGGGCGUAAAGCGCGUGUAGGCGGCCUUGUAAGUCCGUUCUGAAAGCCCGGGGCUCAACCCCGGGAGGCGGAUGGAUACUGCAAGGCUCGAGUACGGAAGAGGCGAGUGGAAUUCCCGGUGUAGCGGUGAAAUGCGCAGAUAUCAGGAGGAACACCGAUGGCGAAGGCAGGUCUCUGGGCAUUAACUGACGCUGAGGAGCGAAAGCAUGGGGAGCGAACAGG
rnacentral:rRNA from 1 species